GACAGAGGGUGCAAGCGUUAAUCGGAAUUACUGGGCGUAAAGCGCAGGUAGGUGGGAUAAUUAGUCAGUUGUGAAAGGCCAGGGCUUAACCUUGGAAUUGCAAUUGAAACGGUUAUUCUAGAGGUUAGUAGAGGUGAGUGGAAUUUCCGAAGUAGCGGUGAAAUGCGUAGAGAUCGGAAGGAACACCAGUGGCGAAGGCGACUCACUGGACUAAACCUGACACUGAGCUGCGAAAGCGUGGGGAGCAAAC
rnacentral:rRNA from 1 species